rnacentral:rRNA from 1 species
UACGGAGGGCGCAAGCGUUGUUCGGAAUCACUGGGCGUAAAGCGCGUGUAGGCGGCUUGGCAAGUCGGGUGUGAAAGCCCGGGGCCUAACCCCGGAACUGCAUUCGAAACUGCCUCGCCCGAGGCCCGGCGAGGAUGGUGGAAUUUCCGGUGUAGUGGUGAAAUACGUAGAUAUCGAGAGGAACUCCAGCAGCGAAGGCGGCCAUCUGGACGGUGACUGAUGCUGAGACGCGAAAGCGUGGGGAGCAAACAGG